rnacentral:rRNA from 1 species
GAUGAACGCUAGCGGCAGGCCUAACACAUGCAAGUCGAGGGGCAGCAUAUCCAGCUUGCUGGAUGAUGGCGACCGGCGCACGGGUGCGCACCGCGUAUGGAACCUGCCCUUUACAGGGGAAUAGCCUUUGGAAACGAAGAUUAAUGCCCCAUGGUACCUUUUGCAACCUUGCAAGACGGUUAAAGGCUUCGGCCGGUAAAGGAUGGCCAUGCGUCCCAUUAGCUUGAUGGUAGGGUAACGGCCUACCAUGGCCGCGAUGGGUAGGGGCCCUGAGAGGGGGAUCCCCCACACUGGUACUGAGACACGGACCAGACUCCUACGGGAGGCAGCAGUGAGGAAUAUUGGACAAUGGGCGAGGGCCUGAUCCAGCCAUGCCGCGUGCAGGAAGAAUGCCCUAUGGGUAGUAAACUGCUUUUAUACGGGAAGAAAAAGGGGCACGUGUGCCCCACUGACGGUACCGUAAGAAUAAGGACCGGCUAACUCCG